UACGGAGGGGGCUAGCGUUGUUCGGAAUUACUGGGCGUAAAGCGCACGUAGGCGGAUGUUCAAGUCGGGGGUGAAAUCCCGGGGCUCAACCCCGGAAUGGCCUCCGAUACUGGAUGUCUUGAGGUCUGGAGAGGUGGGUGGAAUUCCGAGUGUAGAGGUGAAAUUCGUAGAUAUUCGGAGGAACACCAGUGGCGAAGGCGGCCCACUGGCCAGAUACUGACGCUGAGGUGCGAAAGCGUGGGGAGCAAACAGG
rnacentral:rRNA from 1 species